rnacentral:lncRNA from 1 species
UCCGUGGAUCUAGGUUAGAGGCGGGGGGUGGUGCUGACCUUGAGAGCGCGUCGGGGAGGCGCAGGCGCAGCCCAGAGCAACUGGGGAACCUAAUUCUGACCAACAAGGAAGAAUUGCUUGGCUAAUUGGAAGUGACAGAAACCUUGGGAGAAAACAACCACAUACUGAGGAUAAUUAUCAGAAGGUAACAUGGGCCCUAAAGGAUAGUGUCAAGAAACCUGAAGCCCCCAAAUGAGUAUUCACUCGCCCAGGGAAGGGGGAAUUUCAAAACAAAGCAACUGAAACAAAGAAAUAGAUUGAAUUUUCCAAAGUGCUUAAAGUGAAGACACAAGUCUUGAAACCUAAGGUGAUGAGGAAAGAACAGAUUUCUUGAACUUCUUCAAUGCUUCAAGAGGUAAAAUUGGAAAGAAGAAGGAAAAAAUUACACAGAGAAAAGGAGGCAAUGUGACCACAGAGACUAAGAUUGGAGUAAUGAGGCCACAAGUGAAGGAAUGCUGACAGCUACCAGAAGCUGGAAGAGGCAAAAAACAGAUUCCCCCCAGGUCCUCCGGAGGAAGCACAGCCCUGCUGACACCUUGAUCUCAGAGUUCUGGCCUCAUAACUUUAAGAGAAUAAAUUUCUGUUGUUUUAAACCACCAAUUUGUAUAUAUUUAUUAUGUCAGCCCUAUUAAGUUUAUACACAGAGUUUAAAGAGAAUCUAGCAAUAUCUCUAGAAAGAUUAGGUUUUUCUGGGUUGGAGGGAAUGGAGGAAUGUGAAAUGGACGGUGGAGUGUGGAGAAGGUCUGAGGGACUCCUUGGAGGGGAGAACCAGAG